UCACUCACCGUGUCAAAUUCAUAGGAGCGGUAUUUAUACCCCAGCAGGACUCGCUUGAAUACAAGGAACGCCAUCUAAUGAAAAUCCCAUGCUGCAGGCUGAGCUGGAGGGAGCAUCGUGAGUGGCUCAGACCCAGGCCUCCAAGGCAAGGGACAGACACCGUCUUACUUGGUUUGCGGUGGAAUAUCUGGAAAAAGCAUUGGUUACAUUUUUUGUAACCCUUGGCUAAUGAGUCCCAGUCAGUGGAGGCUGAGCUAAACACCACACAGGCAGCAGACCAUCAGCUCGCUUCUCGUGAAUGCAAAGAAGAUGUCAUGGAAUCAGGUCUUAUCUUUUCAUGUAACCUGGC
rnacentral:lncRNA from 1 species